GGGGGGGGCAAGCGUUGUUCGGAAUUACUGGGCGUAAAGGGCGCGUAGGCGGUUUGCUAAGUUGGAUGUGAAAACUCUGGGCUUAACCCGGAGCCUGCAUCCAAAACUGGCAAACUUGAGUACUGGAGGGGAAAGCGGAAUUCCUGGUGUAGCGGUGAAAUGCGUAGAUAUCAGGAGGAACACCGGUGGCGAAGGCGGCUUUCUGGACAGUAACUGACGCUGAGGCGCGAAAGCUAGGGGAGCAAACAGGAUUAGAUACCCUGGUAGUCCUAGCCCUAAACGAUGGAUACUUGGUGUGAGGGGGAUUGAAUCCCUUCGUGCCGUAGCUAACGCAAUAAGUAUCCCGCCUGGGGAGUACGGUCGCAAGGCUG
rnacentral:rRNA from 1 species